rnacentral:ncRNA from 1 species
CCUAAGCCCGGGGAGAGAUCCUCGUACCACGGGCGAAGGCUGUUUUCGAAUCGCCCUUGGGGCGAGAGGGAAUCCGGUUCGUAUUCCGGAACCCGACGCGGAACCGCUCCCUAGUGUUCGGGGCUCUUUUGUCUCGUCUGGGUAACCAGAAUGAACUCGAAGAAGCCGCCGGGGGAUCUGGGUAGAGUUCUCUUUUCUCUGUGAGCGUUGUACGUCCCUGGAAUCCUCUAGCCGGGCGAUAGGGACGCGAGCGCGAAGAGCACCGCUCGUUGCGGCGGUGUCCGUGAUCCCCACGCGGACCUUGAAAAUUCGAGAGAGGGCCACGCGGAGUCUUCGCGUCGGUUCGUACCGAUAUCCGCAGCAGGUCUCCGAGGUGAGCAGCCUCUAGCCGCAUAGAAUAAUGUAGGUAAGGGAAGUCGGCAAAACCGAUCCGUAACUUCGGGAUAAGGAUUGGCUCUGAGGAGCGUGGCUGCCGGGUUCGGGUCGUCGUAGAAGCGUAGGCGUUUUUGGCGACACCCCGGCCGUCGCCCGUGCGCCCGGUCUUCGGAACGGGAGCCUCGAGGCGGCCGCGGGCCCGUCGCCGUCCGCCGACCGUGGAACCACCGAGCUUCGGUCGCUGGCCGCGUCGCGGCCGGCCGACCGCCUUGGUGUCGGUUCGCCGUCACCGGGCGGUCCGGCCGCCGCGCCGUCGGUCGCGUAGCCGGAUCGACAGCCAUGUAACGGUCAACUCAGAACUGGCACGGACCAGGGGAAUCCGACUGUCUAAUUAAAACAAAGCAUCGCGAUGGCCCGGGACGGGUGUUGACGCGAUGUGAUUUCUGCCCAGUGCUCUGAAUGUCAACGUGAAGAAAUUCAAGCUA